rnacentral:lncRNA from 11 species
GUCUGGAAGGGCCAUCAGCUGCUUGAAAGAGAUUAAGCAGACCUUACCUUCUUGAAGAAGGCUUCACAAGCUUUGGGGAUUAUUUGUAAAAAAUCUGCUGAAGUGAGUGCCUGGAACAGAUCAACCCUGGAAAAAAUAUUGGAGCGUGUGCAACAGGAAUCCCAUUUGAGUAGAAGUUAAAACUUCAUGUCUACACUCAUUGGCUAAGACGUCCGACCCACGAGUUUCUUCUGUCUGUGAGAAAUAUAGCCCAGAGCACAUGAAUCAUGGCAUGACAACCUGCACUGGAGGAGCUCACCUUUUCUGAAAGAGCCAUGAAUCAAAGGGGAUUGCCUAAUGGAUGUAGUAAUUAAGGAGGAGCUGUUCAAUAUCAGACACAUGCAGCUCUUGCACCUUUGUCUUCUUGGAACUGGACACUUAAAUCAAUCAAGGAGUCAUCUGCAUCCUCACAUCAUCAUCCUCUUCAGUUUUGUGCCCUCCACAGGGUCUCUGCAAUGGAGUGGACCUUUACACCUAUCAAUAAUUAGCUGUUCUUCUUCCCACCAUGGGGAUUCCCUCCUCCUGUCUGCGAUGAAAGGGAUAUUCCCGGCCAAUCCCUGCAUAUAUCCUAGCUGGCCCAUUUCUCAGCCAAUUGGGAGGAGGUGUGGAAAGUCUGAAUAGCUGUCAAAAGUUUAUAAAAUGUCUUGUAUUUUAUUGUGAAGGUAUGCUUAUACAUUUUGAGCAUUGACGCAGUACUUGCAUCCCUUUUGGCCAAACUGUAAUAAACCUUGAUAGUAUGCCUUCAGACUCAGAGUGUUUUGUUCUACAUUCUGGCUGAUCUGGUUUAGUGGAAUCUUAUCAGAUAUGGACCAUCUUAUCUAUGGUCCUAGCUGAAAUCACUUCAGAUAGACUGUGAAUGCAUCCAUACCACAUCUGCACUACUUUGGAGUAGUGCUGGGCUGAAAUUAGACUAAACCUCCUGAGGUCACAAAUAGGGUUUUAGCGUUUCAAUUUCCAGGUAAGGUAAUUAGGAU